CCCCAAGACAGAGGCCGACCGUGGCCUAAACUGGCCACCACCAUAUCUCCCAGCCCAGUCCUCUUCUAAAACCUUGCCAAUCCCAUCAAGAUAAUGCCGUCCGCGUCCUCUUCCAGGUUAGCCUUUGUGACCGCCUCAGCCAAUAACGCAAGUGACGCUGUGCGACUUACGAUGGAACUGAAAACGCAAUCCUUCUAGGAACGCGCGCUCUCGGAAUGCAGCCACCGUGUGGUAAGGCAGCAAAGCCUUCGGCGACGACCAGGGCAGCGUGCGCACUGAGCCGCAGCCGCCGGCGGAAGCCUCACCGCCGGCGGAAGCCUCUCCUCCGGGAAACGCAACAACAAGUAGCAAGAUGGCGACCACCGACCGCAGCCGCGGCUCGCGCUCCACAAGGCGCGCCUGAGAGGCCUGCGCAGGCGGAAGGCCAAGCGGCAGAAGGCGGCCCCUGAGGAGAUGCAGCCGCACCUCAGGGAGUAGCAGGGACAACUCAGGGAGGAGCGCCACCAGGAACACUGAAGACGCUGACAGAGAGAGUCGCAGGAGGCCGACGAACUGCGCUGUGGAGAUGGUGGAGACAGCGGGCGCCAUGUGCCCCUCCCCCCAACCACACAGUCACAGGCUGCUCGGACUCCCCCCCGCCUGACCUAGGGUCCCGGGCGUCCACCAAAGGGGAGAAGCCGACCAGAGCCUGAGGGGGCAGUCCACCACCCCCUGCUCUCCGAGCCCAUGUCCUCUCGCGCCUCCCUGCACGAACACAGCCGCCCCCAAGUCCAGGGAAAACCUGCCAGCCCCGCGGAGCCCUCCUGAAGCCCCCGGCAUGCAUGUCCCAAACGCCAGACCCGGCCACGUCGCCGGCCGCCAGUGACAGGCCGGGCACAGGACCGACCGAGAGGGGCCAACGCUGGCAGGACUCAGCGCACUGACCCCGUCACCCGGCCUCCAUCGAGGGGAUGACCCCACCGCCCAAGGCUGGGAUGCCAGGAACUCUCUGGCCUGGGACUUGAACCCCUGAAGGAGCAGGCACUGAGAGCUGGCCUUCCUGUGGAGGAGCCUUCUGAGCCAAGACUGGCACGUCUUCCCAAAAGUAUACCCCACUCGGCCCUCGUCAGAUUUAUGAAAAUUAAAAACAAAACAAAACUCUAAGCUUCAGCCCUUGCUAAGCCUCAAAGUUGACAGCCAACCCCAAUCUGACAGACGAAGAGGAAAUUUGGACACACAGACACUGGCAAAAGCACAUGCACAGAGGAGAGACUUUAUGAGGACACAGUAGGAAGACAGCCAUCCACAAGCCAAGAAAAGAGGCUUCAGGAGAAACCAAACCUGCUAACACCUUGAUCUUGAACUUCCAGCAUCCAGAACUACGAAAAAUAAAUUUAUGUUGUUUAA